UGGUACUUGACACCUUUCUGUGAUAGAACUGGUCCAGAUUUCAUACAACCGAUAUAAACACGGGGUUUUGAUCUAUGGCGAGCCAAUGCAGAGCCAAUCAUACCAAGAUUUAUGUGUAUGUCAUCAUCGACUUUGAUAUAGAAGUCAGCAUCCCACCUAGCAACAGCAGUUGAAAAGUAUAUUUGUGUUUUCGAUGACAAUUCAUGAUAUCCUUCAAUGUGAUUCAGCCGCAGGAAAUCCUUAUGCUGCUCUUCUUCUGCAUCAAUAGCACGAUCCAA
rnacentral:misc_RNA from 1 species